rnacentral:SRP_RNA from 2 species
GCCAGGCGUGGUGGCUCACGCCUGUAAUCCUAGCACUUUGGGAGGCUGAGGUGGGUGGAUCACCUGAGGUCAGGAGUUCGAGACCAGCCUGGCCAACAUGAUGAAACCCCAUCUCUA